ACUUUACCAUGCGGGCAACCGUGAUAAGGAAACCCCGAGUGCCAGCACAGGCUGGCUGUCCGCCAGUUUAAACAACUGGCGAAGAAAGGGCCGGGCAAGACCGGUGCCAGCCGCCGCGGUAAUACCGGCGGCUCGAGUGGUGGCCGCUAUUACUGGGCUUAAAGGGUCCGUAGCUUGAUAAUAGGGUCCCUUGAGAAAUCCGCCGGCUUAACUGGCGGGCGUUCAGGGGAAACUUGUUUUCUAGGGACCGGGAGAGGUGAGGGGUACUGCCGGGGUAGGAGUGAAAUCCUGUAAUCCCGGUGGGACCACCUAUGGCGAAGGCAUCUCACCAGAACGGACCUGACGGCAAGGGACGAAAGCUAGGGGCACGAACCGG
rnacentral:rRNA from 1 species